rnacentral:rRNA from 1 species
GACGAACGCUGGCGGCGUGCUUAUCACAUGCAAGUCGAACGGAAAGGCCCUGCUUUUGUGGGGUGCUCGAGUGGCGAACGGGUGAGUAACACGUGAUUAACCUGCCCUUGACUUUGGGAUAACUUCAGUAAACUGGGGCUAAUACCGGAUAGGAGCUCCUGCUGCAUGGUGGGGGUUGGAAAGUUUCGGCGGUUGGGGAUGGACUCGCGGCUUAUCAGCUUGUUGGUGGGGUAGUGGCUUACCAAGGCUUUGACGGGUAGCGGGCCUGAGAGGGUGACCUGCCACAUUGGGACUGAGAUACGGCCCAGACUCCUACGGGAGGCAGCAGUGGGGAAUAUUGCACAGUGGGCGGAAGCCUGAUGCAGAAACGCCGCGUGCGGGAUGACGGCCUUCGGGUUGUAAACCGCUUUCGCCUGUGACGAAGCGUGAGUGACGGUAAUGGGUAAAGAAGCACCGGCUAACUACGUG